rnacentral:rRNA from 1 species
GACCUCAAAUCAGGUAAGAAUACCCGCUGAACUUAAGCAUAUCAAUAAGCGGAGGAAAAGAAAAUAACAAUGAUUCCCUCAGUAACGGCGAGCGAAGAGGGAUAAGCUCAAAUUUUAAAUCUGUUGGGUUCCGCUUAACAGAGUUGUAUUUUGAAGAAACGUUUUCUGCAUCCAGGAUUAGCCUAAAUCCUUUGGGAUAAGGUAUCAUGGAGGGUGAGAAUCCCGUUCAUGGUUAAUCUUAAGGAAGCUCUACGAUACGUUUUCCAAGAGUCGAGUUGUUUGGGAUUGCAGCUCAAAAUGGGAGGUAAAUUUCUCCUAAGGCUAAAUAUUGGCGAGAGACCGAUAGCGAACAGGUACCGUGAGGGAAAGAUGAAAAGAACUUUGAAAAGAGAGUUAAACAGUACGUGAAAUUGUUGAAAGGGAAACGAUUGAAGUCAGUCGUACCGGCGGGUAAUCAGCCUUUUGAGCGUGAUUAUGUGGAGCGUGAGGAGUUAAACGCCUUCAUGCCUUCAUAUUCGUGCACUUUGGGUGUACUUGCUCGUGUGGUAGGUUAACAUCAAUUUCGAUCAUCAUAAAAUGGUUGGAGGAAUGUAGCUUCGAUCUCGUAUUGAAGUGUUAUAGCCUUUAGCAGAUGUGAUGAUUGGGGAUUGAGGAUUGCAACGGAUACCCUUCGGGGCUAUUCGUCUGAUCUCUGAUACGUUGCCCUGAUGUUGAAAGUUUGCUUAUGAUGUUAGGGUAUUACGGUCAAAAGGUUAGAACGAAUUACAUUCGUUAAGGAUGUUGACGUAAUGACUUUAAACGACCCGUCUUGAAACACGGACCAAGGAGUCUAACAUAUAUGCGAGUGUUU